UGACCAAGCGUAUAAGGGCACACAAUGGAUGCCUUGGCAUCAGAAGGCGAUGAAGGACGUGAUAAGCUGCGAUAAGCUUCGGGUAGCGGCAAAUACGCUAUGAUCCGGAGAUUUCCGAAUGGGGGAACCCGGCAGGGGUUAUGCUCUGUCACUGGAGUCUGAAUAAAAUAGGGCUUCAGAGUUAUACCCGGGGAAGUGAAACAUCUCAGUACCCGGAGGAAAAGAAAAUAAUAAUGAUUCCGUAAGUAGCGGCGAGCGAACGCGGAACAGUCUAAACCAGAUGGCUUGCUGUCUGGGGUUGCGGGACCUUUGAUGAUACUAUGAUGCAUAACAGAAUGUUCUGGAAAGUUCAGCCAUAGAGGGUGAUAGUCCCGUAGGUGAAAUGUUGAUUAGGUCUGUAGGUAUCCCAAGUAGGUCGGGACACGUGAAACCCUGACUGAAUCCGGCGGGCCCACCCGCCAAGACUAAAUACUAGCUGAUGACCGAUAGCGAACUAGUACCGCGAGGGAAAGGUGAAAAGUACCCCUGUUAGGGGAGUGAAAUAGUACCUGAAAUUGUGUGCUUACAAACUGUGGUAGUCCUGUCUCUUUUAGAGGUGGGAUAGCCGCUUGCCUUUUGCAUAAUGAGUCCGCGAGUUACAGUAUGUGGCAAGGUUAAUUCCUAUGGAAGUAGCCGAAGCGAAAGCGAGUGCGAAACGUGCGACAGAGUCGCAUGCUGUAGACCAGAAGCCGAGUGAGCUACCCAUGGCCAGGCUGAAUCUUCGGUAACACGAAGGGGAGGGCCGAACCAGUGCAUGUUGAAAAAUGCUUGGAUGAGCUGUGGGUUGGAGUGAAAGGCUUACCAAACUCGGUGAUAGCUGGUUCUCUUCGAAAUAGCUUUAGGGCUAGCCUCGUGUGGUAGCAAUUGGAGGUAGAGCACUGACUGGAUGAUGGCCCUUACCAGGGUACUGACGCCAUUCAAACUACGAAUGCUGAUUGUGGAAUCACGGGAGUUAGACAUGGGGGGAUAAGCUCCUAUGUCGAGAGGGAAACAGCCCAGACCGCCAGCUAAGGCCCCUAAAAUCGAUUAAGUGACUAAGGAUGUGAAAUUGCAUAGACAGCUAGGAUGUUGGCUUAGAGGCAGCCACCAUUUAAACAGUGCGUAACAGCUGACUAGUCGAGUGAUUUUGCGCCGAAAAUGAUCGGGACUAAAAUCGAUUGCCGACGCUGCGGAUAUUUGAUUUCUUCGGAAAUUGGGUGUGGUAGGAGAGCGUUCUAUACGAGUCGAAGCUCAACCGGAAGGUUGGGUGGAUUGUAUAGAAGUGAUUAUGCGGACAUGAGUAACGAAAAGUAGGGUGAGAAUCCCUACCGCCGAAAUCCUAAGGUUUCCUGGGGAAGGUUCGUCCGCCCAGGGUUAGUCGGCUCCUAAGCCAAGGCCGAAAGGCGUAGGUGAUGGACAACAGGUUUAAUAUUCCUGUACUAGCAAGUGAGCGAUGGAGGGACACAGGAGGCUAGGCCAGCCACCGAUUGGAAAUGGUGGUCUAAGCAUGUAGGGCGUACUGGCAGGCNNNNNNNNNNNNNNNNNNNNNNNNNNNNNNNNNNNNNNNNNNNNNNNNNNNNUGACACGGAUUGGUUGAUGCCAUGCUGUCAAGAAAAGCUUCUAGCAUAUUGCUUGUUAACCGUACCUAAACCGACACAGGUAGGAAGGUAGAAUAUACCAAGGCGCGCGAGAGAAACCUCGUUAAGGAACUCGGCAAUUUAGCCCCGUAACUUCGGGAGAAGGGGUCCCUCCGACGGUGAUUUUUUUUACAUAAUGAGCUGUUGGGGGGUGCAGUGAAAGAGCCCAGGCGACUGUUUACCAAAAACAUAGCACUCUGCUAACUCGCAAGAGGACGUAUAGAGUGUGACACGUGACCAAUGCCAAAAGGUUAAGGCAAGGUGUUAGUCUUCGGACGAAGCUCCGACCCGAAGCCCUGGUGAAUGUCGGCCGUAACUAUAACGGUCCUAAGGUAGCGAAAUUCCUUGUCGGGUAAGUUCCGACCUGCACGAAUCGUGUAACGAUCUGGGCGCUGUCUCAACGAGGAUCUCGGUGAAGUUGUAAUUCCGGUGAAGAUGCCGGAUACCCGCAGUAGGACGGAAAGACCCCGUGAACCUUUACUGUAGUCUGAUAUUGGUGUUUGGUUUACCAUGUGUAGUAUAGCUGGGAGACUUUGAAGCCGCUUCGUCAGGAGUGGUGGAGUCAUUAGUGAAAUACCAGUCUUGUUAAAGCGGACAUCUAACCCUGGCCCGUGAAUCCGGGUGGGGGACAUUGUCAGAGGGUCAGUUUGACUGGGGCGGUUUCCUCCCAAACAAUAACGGAGGAGUUCGAAGGUACACUCAGCAUGGUCAGCAAUCAUGUGUAGAGCGUAAUGGUAGAUAGUGUGCUUAACUGCGAGACAUACAGGUCGAGCAGAUACGAAAGUAGGACAUAGUGAUCCGGUGGUUUCUUGUGGUAGAGCCAUCGCUCAUCGGAUAAAAGGUACUCCGGGGAUAACAGGCUGAUCGCUGCCGAGAGUUCACAUCGACGCAGCGGUUUGGCACCUCGAUGUCGGCUCAUCACAUCCUGGGGCUGGAGAAGGUCCCAAGGGUUUGGCUGUUCGCCAAUUAAAGUGGUACGCGAGCUGGGUUCAGAACGUCGUAAGACAGUUCGGUCCUUAUCCACUGUGGGCGUAGGAGAUUUGAGGAGAACAUUCCCUAGUACGAGAGGACCGGGAAUGACGCACCUCUGGUGUUCCUGUUGUCGCGCCAGCGGCAUCGCAGGGUAGCUAUGUGCGGAACGGAUAAGCGCUGAAAGCAUCUAAGCGCUAAGCCUCCUCCAAGACAAGAUCUCCCGGGCUUCGGCCCCUUAAGGCUACAUGAAGACGACAUGUUUGAUAGGCUGGGUGUGUAAGUACGUAUAUUUAAAGGUAUUUAGCUAACCAGUACUAAUUAGCCGUGCGGCUUGUUCAUAU
rnacentral:rRNA from 2 species